rnacentral:rRNA from 1 species
UACGUAGGGUGCGAGCGUUAAUCGGAUUUACUGGGCGUAAAGGGCGCGUAGGCGGCCAGUGCAAGUCAGUUGUGAAAUCUCCGAGCUUAACUCGGAAAGGUCAACUGAUACUGCUCGGCUAGAGUGCGGAAGGGGCAACUGGAAUUCUUGGUGUAGCGGUGAAAUGCGUAGAUAUCAAGAGGAACACCUGCGGCGAAGGCGGGUUGCUGGGCCGACACUGACGCUGAAGCGCGAAAGCUAGGGGAGCGAACGGG